rnacentral:lncRNA from 1 species
AAAAAAAAAAGUGCAGACUAUGGAAUCCAAUGCCUUAGUCUGAAUUCCAGUUUGCUCAUCACUAGCUCUUACUUAAUAUCUCUGAGGUAUGGUUUUCUAAUCUGUGAAAUGGGGUGACAAUAGUACCUAUCCCAUAGGAUUAUUACAAAGAUCCAAUGAGUUGCUGCUUUAAAGCACUUGGAACAGUACCUGGUAUAUAGUAAACUAUAUAAACAUUUAUUUAAAUAAGCCAGGCACGAAAGACUAACAUUGCGUGUUCUCUCUUAUUUGUGGGAUCUAACAAUCAAAACGAUUGAACUCAUGGACAUAGAGAGUAGAAGGAUGGUUACCAGAGGCUGGGAAGGGUAUUGGAGGGUUUGGGGGUGGGAGAUGAAGAUGGUUAAUGGGUACAAAAAAUGUAGUUAGAAAGAAUGCAUAAGACCUACUAUUUGAUCACACAACAUGUUGACUAUAGCCAAUAAUAACUUAACUGUACAUUAAAAAAUAACUAAAAGAGUAUAACUGAAUUGUUUGUAACACAAAGGAUCAAUGCUUGAGGGGAUAGACACGCCAUUCUCCAUGAUGUGAUUGUCACGAUUUGCAUGCCUGUACCAAAACAUGCCAUGUACCCCACAGAUAUAUACACCUAUUAUGUACCCACAAAAAUUAAAAAUAAAAAAAUGAAAAAUGAAAAACAAACUGCAUUUGUUGAAGAAAUAAUAGAAAGGAAAAUAAUGCUGGAGUCUGGCUUCUUGCUAUGCAGAUGGACCUUUAGGUACUGGAGAGGAAUUACAGGAUGUAGUUGUGUGAGACACCUGGUAGGUUUAUCUUUUUAAUUCUCAUUAGCAUCUCUUGGUUGUCCAUGAAUUCGUUUUGAGUGCCGAAUGCAGAGUCCUCCCCUCCAAUACUUACACGGGUCCCAGGAAAAGGACCAGGAGCUCCUGGAACAAAGAGGCAAAAUUCACUGGUUCUCAUAUUUGACAAUAAAUGGAGACGUUUUCAGUUGUCACAACUGGAGUGAUGUGCAACCGUCAUGAAAUGAGCGGAGAAGGAUGCUGCUAAACAUCUGACAAAAUACAG